rnacentral:rRNA from 1 species
CAAAAACAUCGCCUCCUGAUUAAACAUAAGAGGUCCAGCCUGCCCAGUGAUAACAUUCAACGGCCGCGGUAUUCUGACCGUGCGAAGGUAGCAUAAUCACUUGUUCUCUAAAUAAGGACUAGUAUCAACGGCAUCACGAGGGCUAUACUGUCUCCCCCCUCCAAUCAGUGAAACUGAUCCCCCCGUGAAGAAGCGGGGAUUUAAUUAUAAGACGAGAAGACCCCAUGGAGCUUUAAACCUAACAUACACCCCCUCGCUAAGAUAUCAGCUAAGCCUAGAGGGCCUGUGCGUUGGUCUUAGGCUGGGGGGACCACGGAGCAAAAUCAAACCUCCAUAACAAAUGGGCUAAAACCCUUAUCCACGAUUUACAAAUCCAAGAAUCAUCAAAAUGAUGUUUAAUGACCCGAUAAUUCGAUCAAUGAACCAAGUUACCCUGGGGAUAACAGCGCAAUCCACUUCAAGAGCCCAUAUCGACAAGUGGGUUUACGACCUCGAUGUUGGAUCAGGGUAUCCUAGUGGUGCAGCCGCUACUAAAGGUUCGUUUGUUCAACGAUUAAAACCCUACGUGAUCUGAUUUCAGACCGG